UACGGAGGGAGCUAGCGUUGUUCGGAUAUACUGGGCGUAAAGCGCACGUAGGCGGCGCCGUAAGUCAGGGGUGAAAUCCCGGAGCUCAACUCCGGAACUGCCUCUGAAACUGCAGUGCUAGAAUCUUGGAGAGGCGAGUGGAAUUCCGAGUGUAGAGGUGAAAUUCGUAGAUAUUCGGAAGAACACCAGUGGCGAAGGCGACUCGCUGGACAAGUAUUGACGCUGAGGUGCGAAAGCGUGGGGAGCAAACAGG
rnacentral:rRNA from 1 species